UUAUUGAUGAUUAUUCAGUUCCUAUUGUAACUGCUAUACUUUAAAGUUCGUAUACCCUUAAUGAACUAUAUUCAAGCAUGCUUUCUAGCUUUCGUUUCAGCUAGAUGUUAUUGAUGCAAACGUAGUAUAUUGUUUAAACAAUUCAAAUCCUUUGAAGCUAUUUGAUGUUUACCAAUCCAAAUUGCUUUGGUGAGGUCCCGUAUGAAUACUAAGAUGAACAACCCGGAUAACGGGGUAACUAAUGACGGGUAUAUAGUCUCAUUUACGUUUAUGCGUUUAAAUUUUAUACUUGUGCACAAUGUAGAGUACGAUAGGCUGAUCACCUGGAGUACUUGCAGAGACCGUUUACAAUCUAUUUGAUUGUUAAACCGUCUGAUGGUUUUUGAUGAAACAAAGUAAUGUUCAGGGUAUCUAACACCCCUUAGUAUGCUAUUGAGAAUUCCAGAACUCUUAUCUUG
rnacentral:lncRNA from 1 species